UUAUAUUAAAAUCUACGAUCUAAGACACCAAAAGAAAAUCAAGUUAAUUACUUCAAUCAGUUUUCCAGUCAUCAUCUACAACCUUUCUAACUUUAAUCCUAGUUCCCAGUGCCCGCCCCCAUUUUGUUCACAUGUACAUUUAGUUCAUAUGUCUUAAUAGUGAGCAUGUAUGAAAAGGAUAUGCUGGUGACAGUGGAAAGUAAGUAGAUUUGUGAAAUUAGCAUUUGGACAUUGUGAAAGUAUGAGAUUUAAGGAGACAAUGUACUGUCUCAGAAGAAAUGAGUUAAAAGAAGUACAACAAGGACAAGAACAAAUAUGAAAUUACAGAUAUUUUGAACACCGAAAUAAAAGCAGAAAUAUUCAGAAGCAGAAAUUGUGCUGUAUUUUGUUGUUUUCAAUUGUUUGCUUUUUAACAUGGAGAUUCUACUAUGAUUACUUUAUCCAGUGGUGUCAGAGAAGAUGGGCAGAACAACUUCAAAGAGUGAAACCUCUCCCUUCCAGGAUGCAGGGCAGGAAGCAGCCCUGCCACUGUGGAACGGGAAGAAUGCACACAUAAAAACACUCAUCUGGAAGUAGAACAGAAUGAUUGCACAUCCAAGAUCUUGAGACAAAUGGUGGAUCAAGAGGGUAAGGAUCAUUAAAGGAUGCAAAGCAAAGUGAGUCAUACCUGAACUAUAAAAGGAC
rnacentral:lncRNA from 1 species